AUGCAAGUCGAACGAGUUUCCGGGCUUGCUCGGAAACUAGUGGCGAACGGCUGAGUAACGCGUAGGUGACCUACCCCGUAGUGUGGAAUAACUGCCCGAAAGGGUAGCUAAUACCGCAUGUUGAGCCGACAUCAAUGUCGUCUCCAAAGCAGAAAUGCGCUAUGGGCGGGGCCUGCGUUCGAUUAGCUAGUUGGUGGGGUAAUGGCUCACCAAGGCGACGAUCGAUAGGUGGUCUGAGAGGACGAUCACCCAGACUGGGACUGAGACACGGCCCAGACUCCUACGGGAGGCAGCAGUCGGGAAUUUUGCGCAAUGGGGGAAACCCUGACGCAGCAAUACCGCGUGUGGGAUGAAGGCCUUCGGGUCGUAAACCACUUUUUUCGGGGACGAUAAUGACGGUACCCGAAGAAUAAGCCACGGCUAACUACGUGCCAGCAGCCGCGGUAAUACGUAGGUGGCAAGCGUUGUCCGGAUUUACUGGGCGUAAAGCGCGCGCAGGCGGUGAAUGAAGUCGAAAGUGAAAGCCCCGAGCUCAACUCGGGAACUGCUUUCGAAACCAGUUCACUUGAAGGUGGAAGAGGGAAGUGGAAUUCCGAGUGUAGCGGUGGAAUGCGUAGAUAUUCGGAGGAACACCAGAGGCGAAGGCGACUUCCUGGUCCAAUCUUGACGCUGAGGCGCGAAAGCUAGGGGAGCAAACAGGAUUAGAUAUCUUGGUAGUCCUAGCUGUAAACGAUGGAUACU
rnacentral:rRNA from 1 species